rnacentral:tmRNA from 1 species
GGGGCUGACAGGAUUUCUACAUGUUUAUUAGUUUAGGUAGUAUUAAGAAUAUGGUUGUGCUGGCGCAUAACAUUGUAAAUUAUAUUUAAUUGCAAAACAUAAUAUUUUAGCUUUCUCAAGAAAUCUAGUACAAGCAUAGUUUAUCUUGUUUAAAUAUAUAGUGCUAACUAUUAGUUUAUUUUUUUAGCUUCUCUAAAAUUUAUCAUUAUCCAUUUAAGUUUAAUGAUUGAGUGUUUAGUUAAGAAAUCAUUUCUUAAAACUUUUUUUAAAAAAUUAAUAUUUACCUAAUCAUUUAAUAAAUGUGGACGUGGGUUCAAUUCCCACCAGUUCCA